rnacentral:siRNA from 1 species
UACAACUAGUGCAUCAUGUG